GACGAACGCUGGCGGCGUGCUUAACACAUGCAAGUCGAACGGAAAGGCCCUGCUUUUGUGGGGUGCUCGAGAGGCGAACGGGUGAGUAACACGUGAGUAACCUGCCCUUGACUUUGGUAUAACUUCGGGAAACUGGGGCUAAUACCGGAUAGGAGCUCCUGCUGCAUGGUGGGGGUUGGAAAGUUUCGGCGGUUGGGGAUGGACUCGCGGCUUAUCAGCUUGUUGGUGGGGUAGUGGCUUACCAAGGCUUUGACGGGUAGCCGGCCUGAGAGGGUGACCGGCCACAUGGGGACUGGGAUACGGCCCGGACUCCGACGGGAGGAAGCAGUGGGGAAUAUUGCACAAUGGGCGGAAGCCUGAGGCAGCAACGCCGCGUGCGGGAUGACGGCCUUCGGGUUGUAAACCGCUUUCGCCUGUGACGAAGCGUGAGUGACGGUAAUGGGUAAAGAAGCACCGGCUAACUACGUG
rnacentral:rRNA from 1 species